UAGGGAAUCUUCCGCAAUGGGCGAAAGCCUGACGGAGCAACGCCGCGUGAGUGAUGAAGGUCUUCGGAUCGUAAAACUCUGUUAUUAGGGAAGAACAAAUGUGUAAGUAAUUAUGCACGUCUUGACGGUACCUAAUCAGAAAGCCACGGCUAACUACGUGCCAGCAGCCGCGGUAAUACGUAGGUGGCAAGCGUUAUCCGGAAUUAUUGGGCGUAAAGCGCGCGUAGGCGGUUUUUUAAGUCUGAUGUGAAAGCCCACGGCUCAACCGUGGAGGGUCAUUGGAAACUGGAAAACUUGAGUGCAGAAGAGGAAAGCGGAAUUCCAUGUGUAGCGGUGAAAUGCGCAGAGAUAUGGAGGAACACCAGUGGCGAAGGCGACUUUCUGGUCUGUAACUGACGCUGAUGUGCGAAAGCGUGGGGAUCAAACAGG
rnacentral:rRNA from 1 species